rnacentral:rRNA from 1 species
GAUGAACGCUGGCGGCGUGCCUAAUACAUGCAAGUCGAGCGAACAGACGAGGAGCUUGCUCCUCUGACGUUAGCGGCGGACGGGUGAGUAACACGUGGAUAACCUACUUAUAAGACUGGGAUAACUUCGGGAAACCGGAGCUAAUACCGGAUAAUAUAUUGAACCGCAUGGUUCAAUAGUGAAAGACGGUUUUGCUGUCACUUAUAGCUGGAUCCGCGCCGCAUUAGCUAGUUGGUAAGGUAACGGCUUACCAAGGCGACGAUGCGUAGCCGACCUGAGAGGGUGAUCAGCCACACUGGAACUGAGACACGGUCCAGACUCCUACGGGAGGCAGCAGUAGGGAAUCUUCCGCAAUGGGCGAAAGCCUGACGGAGCAACGCCGCGUGAGUGAUGAAGGUCUUCGGAUCGUAAAGCUCUGUUAUUAGGGAAGAACAAAUGUGUAAGUAACUAUGCACGUCUUGACGGUACCUAAUCAGAAAGCCACGGCUAACUACGUG